UAAUACAACGUUAUUACAACGUUACCACAGCAGGUACAGCCACUCCCUGUAUAACCUUAAUACAAUGUUAUUACAACGUUACCACAGCAGGUACAGCCACUCCCUGUAUAACCUUAAUACAACGUUACCACAGCAGGUACAGCCACUCCCUGUAUAACCUUAAUACAAUGUUAUUAAAACGUUACCACAGCAGGUACAGCCACUCCCUGUAUAACCAUAAUACAAUGUUACCACAGCAGGUACAGCCACUCCCUGUAUAACCACAAUACAACGUUAUUACAGCGUUACCACAGCAGGUACAGCCACUCCCUGUAUAACCACAAUACAACGUUAUUACAACGUUACCACAGCAGGUACAGCCACUCCCUGUAUAACCUUAAUACAACGUUACCACAGCAGGUACAGCCACUCCCUGUAUAACCAUAAUACAACGUUAUUACAACGUUACCACAGCAGGUACAGCCACUCCCUGUAUAACCAUAAUACAAUGUUAUUACAACGUUACCACAGCAGGUACAGCCACUCCCUGUAUAACCACAAUACAACGUUAUUACAACGUUACCACAGCAGGUACAGCCACUCCCUGUAUAACCAUAAUACAAUGUUAUUACAACGUUACCACAGCAGGUACAGCCACUCCCUGUAUAACCAUAAUACAAUGUUAUUACAAUGUUACCACAGCAGGUACAGCCACUCCCUGUAUAACCAUAAUACAACGUUAUUACAACGUUACCACAGCAGGUACAGCCACUCCCUGUAUAACCAUAAUACAACGUUAUU